AUGCUGUUAGCGCAGUGGUUAGUGCACUUGACUUGUGACUGAGAGGGUGUCUGGUUCAAAUCCUAACAGUGGAUG